CUAUAUUCAACCUGCCGCUUCGUGCGGCUAUGGCGAUAAACGACGCCGAAAUAAGCUCUUCGGACCCGGGGGCGGUACCCGGCGCCUCCACCUAAGUCCGGCAUCGAUCAUGCAAUGUGCGGAUUUGGGUGGGGGCGAAAUAGGUUCGACGGGGAGUGUAAAGGGUGCUCUUUUGCUCGGCAUGGUUCCGCCGUCAUCGGGCCGAUUCUAUAGUUGCCAACGACAACUAUGCUCCGGUGGCCCUCGCCGCGUAAUGCGGUAACGGUACCGAUUCAAAGCCCUUGGGGGUAGCACUCUAAGGCGGGGUUCGGAGGCACCUGGCAACAGAAGCCUCCACUUCGCUGA
rnacentral:tmRNA from 1 species